AAUAUUGGACAUUGGGCGAAAGCCUGACCCAGCCAUGCCGCGUGUGUGAAGAAGGUCAUCGGAUUGUAAAGCACUUGACGUUGGGAGAAAGGUCAGUAAGAACAUACCUUGAUGUUUUGACGUUACCGACAGAAUAAGCACUGGCUAACUUCGCGCCAGCAGCCGCGGUAAUACGAAGGGUACAAGCGUUAAUCGGAAUUUCUGGGCGUAAAGCGCGCGUAGGUAGUUCGUUACGUUGGAAGUGAAAGCCCCGGGCUUAACCUGGGAAUUGCUUUCAAAACUGACGAGCUAGGAUACGGUAGAGGGUAGUGGAAUUUCCUGUGUAGCGGUGAAAUGCGUAGAUAUGGGAAGGAACAUCAGUGGCGAAGGCGACUACCUGGACUGAUACUGACACUGAGGUGCGAAAGCGUGGGGGGCAAACAGG
rnacentral:rRNA from 1 species